rnacentral:rRNA from 1 species
UACGGAGGGGGCAAGCGUUGUUCGGAAUUACUGGGCGUAAAGGGCGCGCAGGCGGCUUCUCAAGUCAGGGGUGAAAGCCCAGAGCUCAACUCUGGAAUUGCCUUUGAGACUGAGUGGCUUGAGUACGAGAGAGGUGAGUGGAAUUCCCAGUGUAGAGGUGAAAUUCGUAGAUAUUGGGAAGAACACCGGUGGCGAAGGCGGCUCACUGGCUCGUAACUGACGCUCAUGCACGACAGCGUGGGGAUCAAACAGG